CCAUAGCCCUGAUUGUAGUGGAAAUCCCACAGCAGGAGAUGGACAAAGCGUAGGCGCGAGGAAUUGCAACGGAAAGCAGGUUCCCGG
rnacentral:sRNA from 1 species